CCCGAAACACUACCCAGGUAGCGUCUCCCACCCAUCCUCCUCCUCUAACCAAAACAAAAGGUUCUGUGUGCCUGAUUGCACUUCCUUUGACUAUUGCACUGGGCAUCCUCACCAGCUCUUCUACUUGCUCCUCCUCCUAAUCUGUGAACAGUAUAAAAAGUGUCGUUCAGUUCAGUUUCCUGAGCUUACCCUUUAUUCCCUGAAAAGGAACAAUCCAAUAUUGAGGUAAAACACGUGGUGAACAGUUAUACAUUAUGUUAACAUGCAUGAGACAACCUUUGAUAUCUCUGAUCAUUACUGCAUUUCUGGUCAAAGCAAUGGAACUUCCUUCCUACUAGCACCCCCAGGACAGUUCCUACAACCCAAAGAAGGCAGCUCAUCACUACCUUCUCAAGGACAAUAAAUGUUGCCCCAGCCAGCAAUGUCCAGAUCCUGUGAAUGAAUUUUUUACGAAGUUUUGAUGUGCAAAGUUAAUCAGCUUUGGAUGAGCAAUUGAUCAUCUGUCCAUUAUCAUUAAAAUGAUACUCAUCUCAUUACAGUUCAGGCUUUGAUGUUGUCCAAGGUCUGUUGUAGGUUGGGCUGGAUUGAAGAAGUUACAAAUGGAACUAAACUUUGUAAAAUUAUCAUGAGAGAAGACAUUACCCUCAGGAAUUCCAGCAAAAAUGUCUGGGAUGUAAUAAUCGGCUUCUGACAGCUAAAGU